AUGCAUCAUCACAAGUUUUGUCAUUAUCAAAAAGAGGGAGUAAGUGAAUGCACUUUCCUGUUAGAUGUUUUGUAUGAUGUCAAAACUAGUAUAACCUUAGCAUUUCUAUAUAUUAGACGGUAUCUAUCAGGUUUUUCAUGUUUUGCUUCUAUUUUUAUAUGUCGACACACACAACCUUUCAGGUUGACACAUACUGAAAAAUCUCAUAUAUGUGUCGACACAUACUAUAUACAGGUCAAUAUAUGUAACCUAUUUUUAAACCCUGUAUAUUUUGUUUCUAUGUGUCGACACAUGACUUUGAUCAGGUCGAUGCAUGUUAUAUAA